UGACGUAAAAUUAAGGGCGUAUGGUGGAUGCCUUGGCAUCAAAUGGCGAUGAAGGACGUGGCGUAGCUGCGAUAAGCUUCGGGGAGGUGCUUAGCAACCUUUGAUCCGGAGAUUUCCGAAUGGGGUAACCUAAUUGCGUAAACCGCAAUUGCUUUGCUUCGUAAGAAGUAAAGAGUAAAUCCGCUGAAGUGAAACAUCUCAGUAAGCGGGAGAAUAGAAAACAACAGUGAUUCCCCAAGUAGCGGCGAGCGAAAAGGGAACAGCCCAAACUUAGAAUAAAAUUAUUGAAAUCCGAAUGUCUGAUUUGAAAUUAAAUUCGAUGAAGUUGUUCGGUAAAUUUGGUAGUGGCAUUUUGAGGGUUGUAAGAUAGAAACUUUUUCAAAUCAUCGAAUAGAGCGCUUUUAUUAGUGCUUUGUUCGUUGAUAUUGAAAGGAAAGUUACAAAAUUGAGCUUUAAUUAAAUCCUCUGGAAAGAGGAACCAUAGAGGGUGAUAGUCCCGUAAAUAAAAAAAUUCAAUCUUUCUAGUUUUUACUGGUGCAAAUCCAGAGUUAUUCAUUUAUGAAUAUCUAUCUUGAGUACUGCGAGGCCAUUUAACCUUGCAGGAAGCAACGAGUACUAAUCUCGUGAGGCUAAAUACAUUUGAUGACCGAUAGUGAACAAGUACCGUGAGGGAAAGGUGAAAAGCAGCCCGGUGAGGGCGAUGAAAUAGUACCUGAAACCAUAUGCUUACAAGGACUCGAAGGCUAAAAGUGCAUAGCACACAGAUUGUUGACAUAUGACAUUUGACAUGUGACCGAGUGGUCAAUUGUUGAUUGUUAAUUGUCAAUUGUUUGCGUGCUGUGCACUGUGGCUAACGUGGUGCCUAUUGAAGAAUGAGCCAACGACUUUCUGGACACAGCAAGGCUAACCCGAUAGAACGGGGCAGCCGUAGGGAAACCGAGUGUUAAUAGCGCGACAAUAAGUUGUUUAUGUAAGACCCGAAGCUAAGCGAGCUUGCCUUGACCAGGAUGAACCCCAACUAAACAUUGGGGGGAGGUCCGAACUAGUGGGUUGUGCAACACCCUUGGAUGAGUUGAGGUAAGUAGUGAAAAGCUAAUCGAGCUUAGUGAUAGCUGGUUCUCUCCGAAACAGUUUUCGGACUGGCGGCAACCCUAAAUUAUAUGGGGGUAGAGCACUGGAUGGUUUGCACAGGUCGAAAGAUCGGCUGACCAAUCAAACUCCGAAUACCAUAUAUCGCGGUUGCUAGUUAGACUGUGGGGGCAAAGCUUCACAGUCGCGAGGGGAAGAGCCCAGAUCGCCGUCUAAGGUCCCUAAAUUUUUGCUAAGUGUAAAAGGUGGUAAUCAACCAUAGACAGAUAGUAGGUUGGCUUAGAGGUAGCCAUCCUUUAAAGAGUGUGUAACAACUCACUAUUCAAUGGUUAGUUGCGCCAAAAAUGUAUCGGGGCUAAAGCAAAAUACCGAAGGCGCGAAUUUACUAUUAUGAUGAUAGUAUCUGGUAGGAGAGCAUUUCUAUCUGCUGUGAAGUCGCACCCGUGAGGGGCGAUGGAGCGUUAGGAAGAGAGAAUGUUGGUAUAAGUAAUCCCAAAUUAUGUGAGAAACAUAAUCCCCGCAAAUCCUAGGUUUCCGUGGCAAUGACAAUCAACCACGGGUUAGGCGAUCCUAAGGUCAUGGCGAAAGCCGCAGCCGAUGGGUAAGCCGGUUAAUAUUCCGGCCCGUCUGAUAUAUUCGAUGGAGGGACGAAGGAAAUAAAUUCACGCGCCUUAAUGGUUUGGCGUCGUUGAUUCUGAGAUUCGAUAUCCAGGCAAAUCCGGGUAUCUGCCUUUAAUGGCGAGCUUCGUGAAUUGAGGUAAGGUAAAAUUUUAUUUUACUAAUGUGAAUGAAGAGCCUUCCGAGAAAAUCUUCUAAGGGUGAGAAAUCACUAAAUAUAUUAGACAUCGUACCGUAAACCGACACAGGUGGGUGAGGCGAGAAGCCUCAGGGGAACGAGUGAGUCUUCGUUAAGGAACUCGGCAAAAAAGCGUCCGUAAGUUCGCAAUAAGGACUGCCCUCUCUUGUGCGUAGCACACAGUUUGUAAGUUUUAAGUUUUAAGUUUGUAAGUUUUCUGACUUAUGAACUUCCAGGCCAACGGCCGGAACUUUUAACUUAUGACUUGCGCGCUACGCGUAAGUUGGGGCCGCAGCUAAAGUAUCUCUGGCAACUGUUUACCAAAAACACAACUCCCUGCCAACACGUAAGUGGAUGUAUAGGGGGUGACACCUGACCGAUGCGAGAAGGUUAACGGUGGGGGUGGUGCGCCGCAAGGCGUAUUGCUCACCGCCCGAAGCCCUCGUCAAUGUCGGCGGUAACUAUAACCGUCCAAAGGUAGCGCAAUUCCUUUUCAGGUAAGUUCUGAAGCGCAUGAAAGGUGUAAUGAUCGGAGAACUGUCUCAACGAAGAGCUCGAUGAAAAUGCGAUUCCAGUGAAGACGCUGGAUACCUGCAGCAAGACGAAAAGACCCCAGGAGCUUUACUGUGUGUUUGCAUUGACUUUAAAGGUUUAAUACGUAGCGUAGUGGUGAGGAUUUGAAGUCUGUCUUUCGGGGCAGAUGGAUCCGACGAUGAAACAGCCAUUUUUAAUUCUUUAAAGCCUAACCGGUCAGGACUCCAGAUUUAUCUGGUAAGCCUGAUUGAGACAGUGCAUGCUGGACAGUUUUAAUGGGGCAUUAUCCUCCUAAAGAGUAAUGGAGGAGUUUAUCAAGGUUGGUUUAGCCCGGAUGGAAAUCGGGCUGGACGCGUAAAGGCAAAAACCAGCUUGACUGCAAGACUUACAAGUCGCGCAGGUGCGAAAGCAGAACUUAGCGACCCGACAAUUCUUUAUAGAAAGGUUGGAGACAACGGCUAAAAGUUACCCUGGGGAUAACAGGCUAGUUUCGUCCGAGAGUCCCUAUCGACGACGAAGCUCGGCACCUCGAUGUCGGCUCAUCCUAGCGCGGGGCUGGAGAAGGUCCCAAGCGUAUGGCUGUUCGCCAUUUAAAAGGAUACGUGAGCUGGGUUCAAACCGUCGUGAGACAGGUUGGUCUCUACCUGCUGUAGGCGUUAGUCUGAACAAGACUUAUAAACACUUGAAGGGAGUCGAUCCUAGUAGGGCCGCGUAGGCCCAUUGCUACUUCACAAAGUAAUUUGUGAUGACAAUUUGGCUAAUAACGGUGGAAUCUUAAUCUCAAUUGGUCCGUUGAUAACUAUAAUAUGCUGUGGUCCAGCAUUUAUGGUACAAUUUACUUGAGGACCAAAAAUUAAUUAAGACAAUACCGUGGGAAGUCGAUCUAAAAUUGAUCUAGCUUAUAUUGCUGGUUUUCUAGAUGGAGACGGCAGCUUAAUGAUUCAAAUCAAAAAGCGCAAAGAUGGAAAGUCUAAAAUAAGAUUUAUGCUGACCAUUUGUUUCUAUCAGGACACUAGGCAUGAGAAAACUUUAUAUUGGAUUCGUGAUGUAUUGGGCAUAGGUUAUAUUUCCAGAAGAAAUGAUGGUAUGACGGAAUUAAGAGUUAAUGGAUUUCUUCGGAUUAGAAAUAUAAUAAAAGAUCUAUUGCCGUAUAUCCGAUUCAAAAAGUAUCAGGCAAGGGCUUUAUAUGAAGCCGCUGGUAUUUUAUCCGAAAAAGUUUUGAGUAAGUUAAAUAAAGUACAACUUAAAAAAUUAGUUGAUCUUAUUUUGGUGAUACAAAAUAAAAAUUAUGUCACUAAAAAGAAGAAAACAAAAAAUGAGCUGUAUAAAAUUUUAGAUUUGACCCCGUAACGACUUGAAGUUCGAUAAGUAUCGAACUCGGAAUGGAAAAAUGCGACGUUUAUUUUUCUAUUAAUACGCCAAUACCCGAAUUCGCCAGCUGGCGAAAGGGUAAAGAUAUAGUCUGCACCACUAGUGAUAGUGGAAAUAUGUGACGAGAGGACCGGAUUGAACGAGCCACUGGUCUAUCAGCUUUGAUACCAAUUGAAAUGCUGAGUAGCUAUCGCUCGGAAGGGAUAAGCGCUGAAAGCAUCUAAGCACGAAGCCUACCCUAAGACAAUGUGUUAGGUCCGUAGAAGACUACUACGUCGAUAGGUCACAGAUGUAAGUGCCGUAAGGCAUUCAGUCGAGUGAUACUAAUAGACCGAUUUUCUUUUAUA
rnacentral:rRNA from 1 species